UUUCCGUGGGUGAACCUGCGGAAGGAUCAUUCAUAAUAAGUGUUUUAUGGAACUUUUUUAAAUCCAUAUCGAGCUUGUGUGCAAUGUCAGGGUUGGUCACUUUUCAUCAGCCCCAAACAUCAACUAGUAUAUCAACUCUUUGUCUGAAAAAUAUUAUGAAUAAAACAAAUCAAAAUACAACUAUCAACAACGGAUCUCUUGGCUCUG
rnacentral:misc_RNA from 1 species